rnacentral:rRNA from 1 species
UACGUAGGGUGCGAGCGUUGUCCGGAAUUAUUGGGCGUAAAGAGCUUGUAGGCGGUCUGUCGCGUCUGCUGUGAAAAUCCGGGGCUCAACCCCGGACUUGCAGUGGGUACGGGCAGACUAGAGUGUGGUAGGGGAGACUGGAAUUCCUGGUGUAGCGGUGAAAUGCGCAGAUAUCAGGAGGAACACCGGUGGCGAAGGCGCCUAUCUGGCCCGAUACUGACGCUGAGGCGCGAAAGCUAGGGGAGCAAACGGG